UACGGGGGGGGCAAGCGUUGUUCGGAAUUACUGGGUUUAAAGGGUGCGUAGGUGGGUCUGUAAGUCAGUGGUGAAAUCUCCGAGCUUAACUCGGAAACUGCCAUUGAUACUAUAGGUCUUGAAUUAUCUGGAGGUAAGCGGAAUAUGUCAUGUAGCGGUGAAAUGCUUAGAUAUGACAUAGAACACCAAUUGCGAAGGCAGCUUACUACGGAUAUAUUGACACUGAGGCACGAAAGCGUGGGGAUCAAACAGG
rnacentral:rRNA from 1 species